GUUUUCAGCAGAGGAGCUUGGUGUGGGGAAACGUGCUGUGGUGCUGGCAUAAUCUUUAUGGAACAGGAGGCAACGCUAUUCAGAGAUAACCACCAAGGCAGAAUGUUGGCGUGUGGAAGUACCUCUACUCAGAGUGAUAGAGAAAACUAUGGCUCUGCUUUUACUGAAGGAAUGGCUACCGGAGCGGGCAGCUUUAUGAAUAUAAGGUGAAAAGGAUGUAUGGAGAAGUUUUGGGAGAGUCAGACAGUCCACGGAACUUGCAAUGACUUAGCAAUGAUCUAUGCCAGACGUACAACCCCUGCUGUCAUUGGUGAUACCACUGCUUGAAAAUAUGUCAACGUCCUGUAGAUCAAGUAAGGUUCCAGUCGAAGUCCUCCUGAAGAAUUUGUUGGAUUUCUGCCAGUUUUUGAUAUUGAACUUUAGUGCCUUUUGAGACUCUUGGCUUUUUAAUGGCACGCCUCAUUCUACCCAAAUGGAAGGAUUGGAGUGUGUUUAUA